CCAUUUUAUAAAUCGGAAGACUAGGGGCUGGCUAAUAAAUUCCUAAAGUUCACAUUUAUUCAAUUUAGAGUGUACUGUAGUUACCCCUGUAGACUGCGACUGAAAGUCAUGAAUAUGUGAGUCAUUGUAAACCAGACUGCAGAGUUAGUCAACGUUGCACUCGAUAUUUUUUAGGCAGAAAUUUAGCACUUUAUAACAAUUUUCGCCAUUUAAUCUGCCCUGUAAUCUCUAAUUUUCGUUGUUUUUAACAUGUAUCUUGCUACAUUUGCCCCCUUGACUGCAUCUUGAUGCACACUUGGGAACUGUUUUGCGCACACGCACUUCGAGUUUCUAACUUUUGCGAACCCGAAAUGGCCAACACCGCAGUCUGGUUUGUAAGUAAAGUCCCAUACAUAUCCAUAUGUCGCAAGCAAAAUGGAAAUGUCCUUGGUAUCCAAUAUAUUAUUAAUUAUUAUGCAUAAGUAAGAGAUAUUUACCAGAUACAGAAGAUAAUUCUCUUCUAUCCAAUUUCUUGAUGUGAACUGCAGCCCUCGUGGAAUAGGAAAGGACAGAUAGCCCGCUUCACCACUGAUAAAUACCGAAAUUUCCAGUCACGUGACUAUACCUAAAUUAACUUGCGCGCGCAAAUUACUUAUUUCGCAUAAUUAAUUUCAACCAUAAAUUAUUCCGGGAAGCAAUAAAAACUCUUAUCGCUGUGGCAAUAAGUUCCU